UCUAUCGUUCAGGUAUUUCGAUAUUAGCCCUUAUACCGAUAUUUAUAUUAUUUUCAUUAUAAAAGUUUUUACUCCAAUCAAUACACGUCCUUUACAAAAAAUAUCAUUAAGGCCAUUCCACGAAACGAGCUCCCAAAGAAAUAUGUACGUGUGCGGUCAUCGGUAAUUACAUGCACAUUCGUCUCACUUACCUCUAGCAUCGACCAAUGACGUGUGAGUAUUUCGUUCCCUAGGAGUUCGACUCGCAACGUCAACGACUACGAAAACGUACCGGCUGGGACGGCGAUCUUGUGGUGAGUUUCAACA